rnacentral:tRNA from 1 species
GGCCUUGUAGCAUAGUUAGCUAGAGCGUUGGUUGUACUAAAGCCUUCCCCUUGCUGGCGUGGGUUCGAAUCCCACCGACGCCG